UUUCUAGAUAUAGAUGUACAUGUUGAAAUGGGAGAAUAUAUCACUAAUAUUUACAGAAAGCCUACAUAUUUUCCUGUAGUCUAGUCAUCCCAGCUUGGUCAAUGGACCCUAUGCCUUACAAGUUAGCGGCUUUUAGAGCUAUGGUUGUGAGGGUUUUUACCCAUGUCACAAAAUGGUCGGACAAAGUGAAUGAGCUACGGUAUAUCCUGGAUCUAGGGUCAAAAUUUGGCUACCCCUAUAAACUAAUAACAGGCAUAUGGAAAAAACAACUAACCUUGCUACAAAACCCUGAACAUGGAGACCACACACGACGGUUACCAGAUAGGCCUAAAUUUAUAACCCUCAC
rnacentral:lncRNA from 1 species